rnacentral:rRNA from 1 species
GACGACGCUGGCGGCGUGCCUAACACAUGCAAGUCGAGCGAGCGGCGGGCGGGUGAGUAAUGUAUGGGGCUCUUCCCGAUGGAGGGGGAUAACUAAUGGAAACGGUGGCUACUACCGAAUGCUAUCGGAGGAGCCCAUAUGGGAUGAGCUAGUAGGUGGGGUCAAAGCUCACCUAGGCGACGAGCUCGACCUUGUCUGAGAGGAUGAUCAUACACACUGGGACUGAGACACGGUCCAGACUCCUACGGUAGGCAGCAUUGGGUAAUAUUGGACAAUGGGCGCAAGCCUGAUGCAGCCAUGCCGCGUGUAUGAAGAAGGCCUUAGGGUUGUAAAGGACUUUCAGCGGGGAGGCGUUACCCGCAGAAGAAGCACCGGCUAACUCCGUGCCAGCAGCCGCGGUAAUUC